rnacentral:rRNA from 1 species
UCGGGGUAGCAAUAUUCCGGAGUGGGAGUGGCGUAAGGGUGCGUAACACGUGGGUAAUCUGCCGUGAGGUUGGGGAUAACUCGCUGAAAGGCGAGCUAAUACCGAAUGUGGUGGUCUGAAGGCAUCUUCGGACUUCCAAAGCUGGGGACCGCAAGGCCUGGCGCCUCAUGAUGAGCCCGCGACCUAUCAGCUAGUUGGCGGGGUAACGGCCCACCAAGGCAAAGACGGGUAGCUGGUCUGAGAGGACGACCAGCCACACUGGAACUGAGACACGGUCCAGACACCUACGGGUGGCAGCAGUCGAGAAUUUUUCACAAUGGGCGAAAGCCUGAUGGAGCGACGCCGCGUGGGGGAUGAAUGGCUUCGGCCCGUAAACCCCUGUCAUUUGCGAACAAAGCGUCCGGCCUAACACGUCUGGCGUUGAUAGUAGCGAAAGAGGAAGGGACGGCUAACUCUGUGCCAGCAGCCGCGGUAAUACAGAGGUCCCAAGCGUUGUUCGGAUUCACUGGGCGUAAAGGGUGCGCAGGUGGUAGGAU